CUUCCGGAGCUAACGCGUUAAGUCGACCGCCUGGGGAGUACGGCCGCAAGGUUAAAACUCAAAUGAAUUGACGGGGGCCCGCACAAGCGGUGGAGCAUGUGGUUUAAUUCGAUGCAACGCGAAGAACCUUACCUACUCUUGACAUCCAGAGAACUUUCCAGAGAUGGAUUGGUGCCUUCGGGAACUCUGAGACAGGUGCUGCAUGGCUGUCGUCAGCUCGUGUUGUGAAAUGUUGGGUUAAGUCCCGCAACGAGCGCAACCCUUAUCCUUUGUUGCCAGCGGUUAGGCCGGGAACUCAAAGGAGACUGCCAGUGAUAAACUGGAGGAAGGUGGGGAUGACGUCAAGUCAUCAUGGCCCUUACGAGUAGGGCUACACACGUGCUACAAUGGCGCAUACAAAGAGAAGCGACCUCGCGAGAGCAAGCGGACCUCAUAAAGUGCGUCGUAGUCCGGAUUGGAGUCUGCAACUCGACUCCAUGAAGUCGGAAUCGCUAGUAAUCGUAGAUCAGAAUGCUACGGUGAAUACGUUCCCGGGCC
rnacentral:rRNA from 1 species